UAGCAAUGUGGUGAGCCAGCCUUUCCAAAAUGUAUGUGUCGCACAAAUUUGGGAAAUUUUGAUGCAGUCCUGCGGAGCGUUUCAAGAAUUCCAAUGCCAACAGCAAGAUUGCCGUCGUCUGAAGCGCCGUGCGUGUGCCGCAGUGUCGAGCUAAUCAGCCGUGUCCCCGUGGCUUGCAAGGUGGGACUCCAUUCAUUCAUUCGUUGACCGGCUGGAACCCCGAUAAAGGCACCAUGUGCUAGCGACAAACAUGAAACUGCAAGCGAAUGGCGCGCCAAAAAACGGCCAACCCCAGCAGCACCCACCACAUUACUACCCUGAACUGCCGACAGAGGUUGAGGAGCGACUGGAGAAGCUCUUCAGAAAGUUAGACGCCAACGAAGAUGGUCGAAUUGACAUAAAUGAUCUUACCACUGGCUUGCGCAAACUGGGACUGCCGCAUUCACCUGGGAGUGUAGAGAGGUUCAUAACGGCAUCAGACACUGGAAAAGAUGGCACUGUGGAUUUUGCAGAGUUUGUACACUACAUAAUUGAACACGAAAAGAAUUUGAUGGUGGUUUUUAAAAGCCUUGAUGCAAAUAGUGAUGGCUCACUGGAUGCGAAUGAGAUCAGGACAUCAUUCCAGAAACUUGGAAUUCAAAUUGAUUAUGAUGAAGCCAUGCGACUCCUCAAGCGAAUGGACAAGGAUGGCUCUCUGACCAUUAGCUUUGAAGAAUGGCGUGACUAUCUACUCUUUCACCCUAGCUCAGAGAUUCACGACAUAAUUCAUCACUGGAGACAUGCUACAUUUGUGGAUCUCGGGGAGGACUCGUUGGUGCCAGACGACUUCACAGAAGAAGAGAUACACACAGGCAUGUGGUGGCGGCAUUUGGUCGCUGGAGGAGUUGCUGGUGCAGUGUCUCGAACGUGUACUGCCCCUCUGGACCGGCUCAAAGUUUUUCUCCAGGUUCGAGGCAGUGAGUUCCACUCUAUCCAUCAGUGUUUGCGGCAUAUGUUGCAAGAAGGGGGCAUACAGUCCCUGUGGCGUGGCAACGGCAUCAAUGUUAUCAAGAUAGCUCCUGAAAGUGCACUCAAGUUUCUUGCCUACGAAAAGGCAAAGCGACUUAUCAAGGGUGACUCGAACCGUGAUUUGGGUAUCUUCGAACGUUUUUUUGCGGGUUCCCUUGCUGGCAGCAUCGCCCAAACAAGUAUCUACCCUAUGGAGGUGCUGAAAACCCGCUUGGCAUUACGCAAGACUGGCCAGUACAAGGGAAUAGUAGAUGCAGCCUGCCAAAUCUACCAGAAAGAGGGAUUGCGGAGCUUCUACAAGGGCUACUUACCAAACCUCCUCGGCAUCAUUCCCUAUGCUGGCAUUGACCUUGCCAUCUAUGAGGCGCUGGAAAUACAAUUCAAGAUGUGGAUCCUAUGCUGCUCCCCUCCCCCAUCUCCCACAUCGCAGUGCACGUUGACAUCAACACACUCAAGAAGCUGUACUUACGCCGGCAUGACCUGACAGAUGAUCCUGGCAUCCUUGUGCUUCUAGGCUGUGGCACUGUGAGCAGCUCCUGUGGGCAAAUUGCCAGUUAUCCAUUGGCCCUUGUAAGGACAAGGCUGCAAGCACAAGAUGGAAAACACGAGCGGACCUCCAUGAUUGGACUCAUCAAAGGCAUCGUCCGCACUGAAGGCUUCAGUGGCCUUUAUCGUGGCAUCACUCCAAACUUCAUGAAAGUGGCUCCUGCAGUCAGCAUUAGCUAUGUUGUUUAUGAACACUCACGUAGAGCCUUGGGUGUCACCAUGACAUGAGAACUUAUUUUAAUUUAGAUAUAUCUUGAAGUAGAUCGUUCUUUUUUUUUAUAGUUUUGCUGCCUGUCUGCUAGGAGCAGAGUUGUCUGUGCUUGAAGUGCAGCUGUCUUACUAGUGAAAAGAAUGUGCUGCCUCUCAUGCAGGUUUUAUUUUAUUUGUACAUUAUGACUUGUUUUCUAUUAGUGGCCGUAUGCUUGUUUCUGCAGACCACCUAAUUACCUAUUUCUCCAGCACGUAGGGUGGCUUUUGUGGCAAUUGAAAAUUUCCACUGUGAUCAUGCAUCAUUUAUUUUGCAUCCACAGUCAUGCAACUUUUUCCUGCCAUCCUUGCAAGCAUGCUGCAUGUAAAGUGGCCUGGACAUAGGGAAGGAAUUGCAUUGCACUGUGGUCAGGCUCGCCCAUCAUUUAGGAAUAUUGUAAAGGGAAGCACACGGGUGCGUAGUGAAGGCUCGUGUGGCCUUUGCUAAUAUACAUAUAUUUCCAAUGUCACCUAUUACUAGGUAUGCAUCUAUGUACUCUUGUUGAACCGGUGAUCUUGAUUUUAACAAAGUGCCCAGUCUUGGCAAGUUAUAUCAUCUUUGAGCUGAGACUUGUGCAUAACAGUUCGAGAGGUACUGUUGUCUGGCAACCUCCCCCCCCCCUUUUUUUUUUAUUUUACUUACGCCACAUGCAAGGCUUAGCUUUGAUGCACAUCGCUGUGAUAAUGUGAGGACAGGCUGCCUGCAUCCAGGCUUGCACCAGUACACUUGUUAAUGUUUUUUCGAGCUUUUGCAUACUGCUGUCAAUGCAGGGCAAAUGUCUGCAUGUGAGAAAUAUGUAGUUGGAUUCUGUACAUACAGUCCUUAUUUUGUUGGUGCAAACAAACUGUCAGAGAGAGCUCCAAGCAGAUAUUGCACGUCUGGGAAAUUGUAUGUCCCCCAGGGUUCUAUAUUUCUCUAGAGAUUAUCAAAGUUAGUUUGGGCAUUUGUGAAGUAUGGUUAGUUUUCUAUGCUGCAGAAGCUAUAUUAUUUAUUUUUGAGCUGUGUACAGCCUUGCCUAAGGUCUCUCCGAGACUGAAUGUUGCUGAUACCUAGACUAUGGCAAGACAUUGCCCCUUUAUACUUUGCAAUGCCUAAGCGCUCUAAGCAUGAACGUAUGCUCUUGCAUGGUAAUAUGUAUUUACAAUUUAAAUGUCUUUUUGAUGCUACAGCUUCUUUACUGAAGUAGCCUUUCAAGCUUGAAUGUUCUCUAUUGUUCAUUCCAGAACUGUCUCAGUGCUUCUGCUAAGACGAAGAAAAUAAUUAUUGAAUUCCAAAAUUUGGAAACUGCACUGAUGUUUCUCUUCCACUUUGCAUGCACCUUCAUCAAGACAAUGCUUGGCUGUAUGGGCUCAUUUCCUUAACAGGCUUGUGGCAUUCUGGCCAAGUGUUGCCAGUUCUGUGAACUAUGAACUGUCAUUUUCUAGAUCACUGUACAUUUCCGAUAUGAAUAAAGAUGCUUCAUUUCUCUUUUGAACAGUGCA
rnacentral:misc_RNA from 1 species